UCUAGGCAUGCAGUCGAACGAAUUUUUUAGCUUCGGCUAAAAAAAGAGUGGCAAGCGGGUGCGUAACACAUUGGUAACCUACCCCAAAGACAGGAAUAAGCCUUUGAAAAGAGGUCUAAUACCUGAUGUGCUGGUCUGGCAUAAGUCAGAUUAGUAAAGCUCCGACGCUUUGGGAGGGGCCUAUGGUCCAUCAGCUUGUUGGUAAGGUAAAAGCUUACCAAGGCUAUGACGGAUAGCGGGUGUGAGAGCACGACCCGCCUCACUGGGACUGAGACACUGCCCAGACUCCUACGGGAGGCUGCAGUCAAGAAUCUUCCCCAAUGGGCGAAAGCCUGAGGGAGCGACGCCGCGUGAAUGAAGACGCCCUUCGGGGUGUAAAAUUCUUUUAUUAGGGACGAACUAAUGACGGUACCUAAUGAAUAAGGGGCUGCUAAACUCGUGCCAGCAGCAGCGGUAAUACGAGUGCCCCAAGCGUUAUCCGGAUUUAUUGGGCGUAAAGAGUGCGUAGGUGGUUUGGUGUGUCAAUGGUAAAAUAUAUCUGCUUAACAGGUAGCCUGCCACUGAAACUGCCAGACUAGAGGCUGGGAGAGGUAAGCGGAAUUGCCGGUGUAGCGGUUAAAUGCGUUAAUAUCGGCAGGAACACCAAAUGCGUAGGCAGCUUACUAGAACAGACCUGACGCUGUUGCACGAAAGCGUGGGGAGCGAAGCGGAUUAGAUACCCGCGUAGUCCACGCCGUAAACGAUGGAUACUAGGCAUUGGGAGUAUCGACCCUUUCAGUGCCGUUGAACCAAGCUAACGCGUUAAGUAUCCCGCCUGGGGAGUACGGCCGCAAGGCUAAAACUCAAAGGAAUUGACGGGGACCCGCACAAGCGGUGGAGCAUGUGGUUUAAUACGACAUUAAGCGAAGAACCUUACCGGGACUUGACAUGUACCUGCACGCCUAUGGAAACAUAGCUCCUUCGAGGGUGGUACACAGGUGCUGCAUGGUUGUCGUCAGCU
rnacentral:rRNA from 1 species